AGAAUCAGUCACCGGGUGCCAAUUAACUGCUGUCCUCAGAGAGUUCAUACUGUUGAAGAAGUCAGGGCUCAAACAAAUUAUUACAUAAAUAAUGACUUAACAAUUGGGAUUAUGACUACAAAGAAAACCCAGGAUUCUAUGAGAACGUUAAGCAGGAGAUGCUGUGCCUUCUAGUGGGGUCUGAGAGCUUUUCCUAGGGGAGGGUGGAAGCAGAGGAGACCUGAUGGGUGUGUGGAAGCUGAUCAUCAGAACACGUUGCCCACCCCCUGGGUGUUUCCUACUCCAGUAAUCAUAAGCAACCAUCCCAGUUACCAUUAGGCAUCCCAGGGUCCGGCCUUCCUCCAGAGAAGGGGAAGGGACUCUCUUUUGUCUCCUGGGAAAUGUCCCUGGGGAUAAGAACCUAACUUUGUUGUGUGGGUGAUGUAUAUUUGAUACCUGCCGGUGUCUACAGGGCUCAGCAAUGGCAGGAAGAACAGAGAGGUGGGCGUGGCCCAGAGGUGAGGGAAGGCACUGAGCCAGGUUAUAGGAUGCUGCAAGAGGGUGACCUGAUAGUCUCAGGCCCCAGUGUUUCUUAGCUGGGUGAGGAGGGCUGAACAAGUUGUCAAGGCUUUGUUUUCUCAUCUGUAAAAUGGGCUCAGCAGUGAGUAGUGUCUAGGCACGGUAUACCCUGCCUCAGUUAUUCAGCUCCUACUUAGGUCCACCAGCCUUCCCUCCUUUUGUUUUUAAAUAACCCUAUGCAGCUGAAGUGACCCCCUCCCCCCAUUGAGCAGGAGGGCAUGGUAGAGGCGUAGAGGGGAGAUCUGCCUUGUCUAGCUUGCCCACCCAGGGUGCAGCAGGCUGGGGUGGCGUCAGAUGGACUCCAGAGCCUGGGAGCUAGCGUUCGUGGAGUAGAGGAAUAGUAAUGAGUCUAUUUAUUGAGCUUCUUGUUCAACAAGGCUUCUUCCUUUAAUCUCUACAACAGCCCCGAUUAAAUGACUGGCCCUAAAAGUCAGCCAGACGUGUGUGGCUUCUCUGCUCCCACAGGAGGGAGUUCGGGCUUAGAGCUGGGGUGGGGUGAGUCUGGUACUCACCACUGUAUGUGGACUUGGUUUACAAAGACACGAGUGAAAAUAGUGGCUCCAGGGCUAGGAUGGAGCCCAGUGGCAGAAGGUUAGCUCAGCCUAUGGGUGGCCCGGGGUCCCACCCAGCAGUGUAAGGAUAAAAUAAGAGUGAGCUUCAAAAGCUGCUGUUUGGUUGGGGCCAUGGAGAUGGCUUGGCAGGUCAGGGCACUUGUCACAAGUCUGACAACCUGAAGGUUGGUCCCCAGGACCCAUAUGGUUGGAGGGGAGAACCUGACUUCGACAAGGAGAGUAAGAAGCCAGGUCACAGAGGACAAGUCAGAGCCCUCUGUCCCAGACAGGAAGCUGAAUCUCUUCAUUCCCAUCCAUUGCGUGCUUUCUGGUGCUCUGUGGGAAGAGUAUGUACAUUCUCCAGAGGUCCUGGGUCUCAACCUACGGGAUGCCUCCCUCGUAGCUCAAGGAUGAUGUUCCAAAGGUCGCAGCCGCAGAUCUCCCACAACUGAAUCACGAAGAAGCUUGGAUGUGUACAGAGGUGUUGGGAGGCAUCCAAGGUGCUCUGGAUGCAGUUCCAGAAAAACUCUCUAGAAUAUGGAAGCUCGUUGUUUCAGCGGAAGGAGAUGAAGGAGGAAUGAGACCAAGACGAGGGAUUGGGAGGAAUGGAAGCCACUGAAGAAGUGGGCACACGAAGGGAACUUGAUCCUGAUCAGGAAGGAGGAACAGAAAUAGAGCAGGGCCAGUGCCCCUGCCUCCCCUGACUGUGAUCGACAAUAUCUGUCCUUGGUACACACCUCUGCAGAAGCAACUGAGCAGCUAUCUGCCUCCGAGCGUCUGCAGAGGGUACCGAGAUGCAGAGAGGAGAGAGGGAUGGAGUGCAGGACCCCAAGCCAGCAGCUCCACUCCAAUGUCAAGACUGCUUGAUUUGCUAAGUAUCUGAAGGGGAGGGAGGCAGGUCAGACUAGCAAUGGGCAAAUAGGGAGAGUCUUUGCUGGCUGUCAGGCUCUGUGCUAUGGGUGCUGUAAGUGUAUCUGCUACUCUUCUGUCCAUUGUAUCAGAAUUCAUGACAGUGGCAACUUAAAAAUGAAGGUCUACUUGUGUAUCUUUUUUUUUUUUUAAAGGUUUACUUAUUUAUGUGAGUACACCUUAGCUAUCUUCAGACACUCCAGUAGAGGGCAUCAGAUCUCAUUACAGAUGGUUGUGAGCCACCAUAUGGUUGCUGGGACUUGAACUCAGAACCUUCAGAAGACCAGUCACUGUGCUUAACAGCUGAGCCAUCUCUCCAGCCCCUACUUGCGUAUCUUAAGGAUACAGUCCAUUGAAGUGGGGAAGGCGUGAUGGCAGGAGCAGGAGGCAGUCUGGCCAUACUGCAUCUGUAUUAGGAACACAGAGAAGGAAAGGGAGGUAGAGAUGGAUGUGGGAGAAGGAGAGGGGGAGGUAGAGAUGGAUGUGGGGGAGGAGGAGGAGGAGGGAGAGGGAAUUGGGGAGGGGGAGGGGAAAAGGGAGGGGGACAGGGAGGAAGAGAGAGAGGAAUGCUGGUGCCCAGAUAGCUUAGUCCAUUUUACUCAGUCCAGACUCACAAGGAUGGUGUUGCCCAUGGUUUAGGGUGUGUCUCCCCACCUCAGUUAACCUAACCCAGAAACUCCCUUGCAGACAUUCUCAGGAGUAUGUAUCCUAGGUGAUUCCAGAUCCUGCCAAGUUGACAAUCAGUAGUUAGCAUCCCAAGAAAUGACGUCUCAACACACCCUGUUCAACAAGCAUGACAAAUGACACUUUGGAACUUUGGUUACAGGGAAACCAGCAACGUUUGCCCACACAGCACACAGGCUGGUCCACAUGAUGACCGGAAGCCAUCCUUCACCGUGUCCUAACAGAGACACACUGUAUCUCAGAAUAACGAGUCGCCAGCCCUCAAUGUGAUUAACUGCAUCUAACUGAGAACAAAGAAGGGCAAAGCAGCGCUGACCGCAGACCUGUGAGACUGACUUGACUCUUCCAUCCAUGAUUCUCAAGUUCUACAAAAACACACCUCUGGAGCGUUCUUCCAUGGUGCAGACUUGGAGACUUCUGGCUUCACCUACGCACUGUUGGCAAUGACUGAAUUUGGCAAAUGAAACCAAACAAGGCCAAUAAUAAUGGGAAAUGCCAACCCACAGGAGAGCAUUGUCGAUAGGUUUGUGAGAGAGGACCACAGAACAGCAAAAAUGAAUGCAUUUCGAGCCUGUGGUAUUCAGAAGAGUAAGGUCAACUAGCAUGUUUCUCUGAAGCAAUGCCAAAAUGGGACAACAAACUUCAGUUACACUCACAUUCACAGAUAUUAGGGUUAGGUCUUGGACAUGUUUAUUGAGGGUGGGGGCUGAAAUUGGACCGAUGAGGAGUGUGAUGGUUUGUAUAUGCUUGGACCAGGAAGUGGCACCAUCUGAAGGUGUGGCCUUGUUGGAAUAGGUAUGACCUGGUUGGAAUGGGUGUGUCACUGUGGGUGUGGAUAUAAGAUCCUCACCCUAGUUGCCUGGAAGUCAGUC
rnacentral:lncRNA from 1 species